AUCUAGCCCCGAUAGAGCCGGUAUCCUUUUUCUGGCUUUUUUAGACAGAAAAAGAUAUAGGUGAAAGCGGGAAUAAAG
rnacentral:sRNA from 1 species